rnacentral:rRNA from 1 species
CAGAGUUGAUCCUGGCUCAGGAUGAACGCUAGCGGCAGGCCUAACACAUGCAAGUCGAGGGGCAGCACGGUGUAGCAAUACACUGGUGGCGACCGGCGCACGGGUGCGUAACGCGUAUGCAACCUACCCAUAACAGGGGGAUAACACUGAGAAAUUGGUACUAAUACCCCAUAACAUCAGGACCGGCAUCGGUUCUGGUUGAAAACUCCGGUGGUUAUGGAUGGGCAUGCGUUGUAUUAGCUGGUUGGUG